GGCGCUCCCUGUCAGCCCUCCGGGAUGAUCCCCUGCCUGCUGCAGAAGGGGCUCAUGAAAACACAGCUGUACUUGCUGAGGGGAGCCAGAUAUCGGUGUCCCCUGAGAGGCUCUGUCAGAGCCCUACAAAUACAGAUGAGGAUGCUUGCAGCUAAACGUUGGACUGAACAAGGGGACCCCAAUGGAGGAGUUAGAGAAAAGUCUGAAGGAGCUGAAGGGGUUUGCAACACCAUAAGAAGAACAACGGUAUCAACCAAUCAGAGGCCACCAGAGCUCCCAGGGAGUAAAGUGGUGCAUGUGGAGGGACCCAUGACUCGAGCCAGGGAGCUGGAAGCUGUGGAACAGAACAAGUGACUGUAGAUGCCAUAGUGCACAUAAGGCCGGCCUGACUGCUGCAGGGAUUGCAAAGAAAGCAAGAAGGCUGAGGAUUUGUGUUCCUUCUUCCUUGAAACAGAAACCCUGCUGACUAUUUCAUGAGGCUCCCAGGCCUUUGUUUUAAAGUGGCUUAUGUAACACACUGUGAAAAUAUAAUAAAACAUAGCCUUCAAGUG
rnacentral:lncRNA from 1 species